rnacentral:ncRNA from 2 species
GGUCAUGAGUGCCAGCGACAAGCCCCGGCUCGCUGGUCAGCAACCCUCCUCCGCGGUGGGGUGCUCCGGGUGACGACCUGGUCGUCGGCGAAACCGCCGUCGGCAAGCGCGGACU